ARGCAGCAGUAGGGAAUCUUCCGCAAUGGACGAAAGUCUGACGGAGCAACGCCGCGUGAGUGAUGAAGGCUUUCGGGUCGUAAAACUCUGUUGUUAGGGAAGAACAAGUGCUAGUUGAAUAAGCUGGCACCUUGACGGUACCUAACCAGAAAGCCACGGCUAACUACGUGCCAGCAGCCGCGGUAAUACGUAGGUGGCAAGCGUUAUCCGGAAUUAUUGGGCGUAAAGCGCGCGCAGGUGGUUUCUUAAGUCUGAUGUGAAAGCCCACGGCUCAACCGUGGAGGGUCAUUGGAAACUGGGAGACUUGAGUGCAGAAGAGGAAAGUGGAAUUCCAUGUGUAGCGGUGAAAUGCGUAGAGAUAUGGAGGAACACCAGUGGCGAAGGCGACUUUCUGGUCUGUAACUGACACUGAGGCGCGAAAGCGUGGGGAGCAAACAGGAUUAGAUACCCUGGUAGUCCACGCCGUAAACGAUGAGUGCUAAGUGUUAGAGGGUUUCCGCCC
rnacentral:rRNA from 1 species